rnacentral:rRNA from 1 species
UACGUAGGGGGCUAGCGUUGCUCGGAAUCACUGGGCGUAAAGGGUGCGUAGGCGGGUUUUUAAGUCAGAGGUGAAAUCCUGGAGCUCAACUCCAGAACUGCCUUUGAUACUGAAGAUCUUGAGUUCGGGAGAGGUGAGUGGAACUGCGAGUGUAGAGGUGAAAUUCGUAGAUAUUCGCAAGAACACCAGUGGCGAAGGCGGCUCACUGGCCCGAUACUGACGCUGAUGCACGAAAGCGUGGGGAGCAAACAGG